GAUGAACGCUGGCGGCGUGCCUAAUACAUGCAAGUCGAGCGAACAGACGAGGAGCUUGCUCCUCUGAUGUUAGCGGCGGACGGGUGAGUAACACGUGGAUAACCUACCUAUAAGACUGGGAUAACUUCGGGAAACCGGAGCUAAUACCGGAUAAUAUUUUGAACCGCAUGGUUCAAAAGUGAAAGACGGUCUUGCUGUCACUUAUAGAUGGAUCCGCGCUGCAUUAGCUAGUUGGUAAGGUAACGGCUUACCAAGGCAACGAUGCAUAGCCGACCUGAGAGGGUGAUCGGCCACACUGGAACUGAGACACGGUCCAGACUCCUACGGGAGGCAGCAGUAGGGAAUCUUCCGCAAUGGGCGAAAGCCUGACGGAGCAACGCCGCGUGAGUGAUGAAGGUCUUCGGAUCGUAAAACUCUGUUAUUAGGGAAGAACAAAUGUGUAAGUAACUAUGCACAUCUUGACGGUACCUAAUCAGAAAGCCACGGCUAACUACGUG
rnacentral:rRNA from 1 species